GACGAACGCUGGCGGCGUGCUUAACACAUGCAAGUCGAACGGUGAAGCGCCUUCCUUUUUGGUGGGUGUGGAUGAGUGGCGAACGGGUGAGUAACACGUGAGUAACCUGCCCCCUUCUUCUGGAUAACCGCAUGAAAGUGUGGCUAAUACGGGAUAUUCUGGGUCUGUCGCAUGAUGGGUCUGGGAAAGAUAUUGUUUCGGUGGGGGAUGGGCUCGCGGCCUAUCAGCUUGUUGGUGGGGUGAUGGCCUACCAAGGCGGUGACGGGUAGCCGGCCUGGGAGGGUGGGCGGUCCCACUGGGGCUGAGACACGGCCCCGACUCCUACGGGAGGCAGCAGUGGGGAAUAUUGCACAAUGGGCGCAAGCCUGAUGCAGCGACGCCGCGUGAGGGAUGGAGGCCUUCGGGUUGUGAACCUCUUUCGCCAGUGAAGCAGGCCUGCCUCGUUUGUGGGUGGGUUGACGGUAGCUGGAUAGGAAGCGCCGGCUAACUACGUG
rnacentral:rRNA from 1 species